AUUGAACGCUGGCGGCAGGCCUAACACCUGCAAGUCGAGCGGAGCGGCGGACGGGUGAGUAAUGCCUAGGAAUCUGCCUGGUCGUGAGGGAUAACGUCCGGAAACGGGCGCUAAUACCGCAUACUAUCAGAUUAGCCUAGGUCGGAUUAGCUAGUUGGUGGGUGAAAGGCCUACCAAGGCGACGAUCCGUAACUGGUCUUAGAGGAUGAUCAGUCACACGGGAACUGAGAAAGGGUCCAUACUACUACGGGAGGCAGCAGUCGGGAAUAGUGGACAAUGGGCGAAAGUCUGAUCCAGCCAUGCCGCGGGUGUGAAGAAGGUCUUCGGAUUGUAAAGCACUUGAAGUUGGGAGGCGUUACCAACAGAAUAAGCACCGGCUAACUUCGUGCCAGCCGCCGCGGUAAUUC
rnacentral:rRNA from 1 species